UACGGAGUUACAAAGGACGACAUUAGACGAAUCAUCUGGAAAGAUGAAUCAAAGAAGGUAAUAAUCCUGUAGUCGAAAAUGUUGUCUCUCUUGAGUGGAUCCUGAGUACGACGGAGCACGUGAAAUUCCGUCGGAAUCUGGGAGGACCAUCUCCUAAGGCUAAAUACUCUCUAGUGACCGAUAGUGAACCAGUACCGUGAGGGAAAGGUGAAAAGCACCCCGGAAGGAGAGUGAAAUAGAACCUGAAACCGUGUGCUUACAAGUAGUCAGAGCCCGUUAAUGGGUGAUGGCGUGCCUUUUGUAGAAUGAACCGGCGAGUUACGAUUUGAUGCAAGGUUAAGCAGUAAAUGUGGAGCCGUAGCGAAAGCGAGUCUGAAUAGGGCGUUUAGUAUUUGGUCGUAGACCCGAAACCAGGUGAUCUACCCUUGGUCAGGUUGAAGUUCAGGUAACACUGAAUGGAGGACCGAACCGACUUACGUUGAAAAGUGAGCGGAUGAACUGAGGGUAGCGGAGAAAUUCCAAUCGAACCUGGAGAUAGCUGGUUCUCUCCGAAAUAGCUUUAGGGCUAGCCUCAAGUGAUGAUUAUUGGAGGUAGAGCACUGUUUGGACGAGGGGCCCCUCUCGGGUUACCGAAUUCAGACAAACUCCGAAUGCCAAUUAAUUUAACUUGGGAGUCAGAACAUGGGUGAUAAGGUCCGUGUUCGAAAGGGAAACAGCCCAGACCACCAGCUAAGGUCCCAAAAUAUAUGUUAAGUGGAAAAGGAUGUGGCGUUGCCCAGACAACUAGGAUGUUGGCUUAGAAGCAGCCAUCAUUUAAAGAGUGCGUAAUAGCUCACUAGUCGAGUGACACUGCGCCGAAAAUGUACCGGGGCUAAACAUAUUACCGAAGCUGUGGAUUGUCCUUUGGACAAUGGUAGGAGAGCGUUCUAAGGGCGUUGAAGCAUGAUCGUAAGGACAUGUGGAGCGCUUAGAAGUGAGAAUGCCGGUGUGAGUAGCGAAAGACGGGUGAGAAUCCCGUCCACCGAUUGACUAAGGUUUCCAGAGGAAGGCUCGUCCGCUCUGGGUUAGUCGGGUCCUAAGCUGAGGCCGACAGGCGUAGGCGAUGGAUAACAGGUUGAUAUUCCUGUACCACCUAUAAUCGUUUUAAUCGAUGGGGGGACGCAGUAGGAUAGGCGAAGCGUGCGAUUGGAUUGCACGUCUAAGCAGUAAGGCUGAGUAUUAGGCAAAUCCGGUACUCGUUAAGGCUGAGCUGUGAUGGGGAGAAGACAUUGUGUCUUCGAGUCGUUGAUUUCACACUGCCGAGAAAAGCCUCUAGAUAGAAAAUAGGUGCCCGUACCGCAAACCGACACAGGUAGUCAAGAUGAGAAUUCUAAGGUGAGCGAGCGAACUCUCGUUAAGGAACUCGGCAAAAUGACCCCGUAACUUCGGGAGAAGGGGUGCUCUUUAGGGUUAACGCCCAGAAGAGCCGCAGUGAAUAGGCCCAAGCGACUGUUUAUCAAAAACACAGGUCUCUGCUAAACCGUAAGGUGAUGUAUAGGGGCUGACGCCUGCCCGGUGCUGGAAGGUUAAGAGGAGUGGUUAGCUUCUGCGAAGCUACGAAUCGAAGCCCCAGUAAACGGCGGCCGUAACUAUAACGGUCCUAAGGUAGCGAAAUUCCUUGUCGGGUAAGUUCCGACCCGCACGAAAGGCGUAACGAUUUGGGCACUGUCUCAACGAGAGACUCGGUGAAAUCAUAGUACCUGUGAAGAUGCAGGUUACCCGCGACAGGACGGAAAGACCCCGUGGAGCUUUACUGUAGCCUGAUAUUGAAAUUCGGCACAGCUUGUACAGGAUAGGUAGGAGCCUUUGAAACGUGAGCGCUAGCUUACGUGGAGGCGCUGGUGGGAUACUACCCUAGCUGUGUUGGCUUUCUAACCCGCACCACUUAUCGUGGUGGGAGACAGUGUCAGGCGGGCAGUUUGACUGGGGCGGUCGCCUCCUAAAAGGUAACGGAGGCGCUCAAAGGUUCCCUCAGAAUGGUUGGAAAUCAUUCAUAGAGUGUAAAGGCAUAAGGGAGCUUGACUGCGAGACCUACAAGUCGAGCAGGGUCGAAAGACGGACUUAGUGAUCCGGUGGUUCCGCAUGGAAGGGCCAUCGCUCAACGGAUAAAAGCUACCCCGGGGAUAACAGGCUUAUCUCCCCCAAGAGUUCACAUCGACGGGGAGGUUUGGCACCUCGAUGUCGGCUCAUCGCAUCCUGGGGCUGUAGUCGGUCCCAAGGGUUGGGCUGUUCGCCCAUUAAAGCGGUACGCGAGCUGGGUUCAGAACGUCGUGAGACAGUUCGGUCCCUAUCCGUCGUGGGCGUAGGAAAUUUGAGAGGAGCUGUCCUUAGUACGAGAGGACCGGGAUGGACAUACCUCUGGUGUACCAGUUGUCGUGCCAACGGCAUAGCUGGGUAGCUAUGUGUGGACGGGAUAAGUGCUGAAAGCAUCUAAGCAUGAAGCCCCCCUCAAGAUGAGAUUUCCCAACUUCGGUUAUAAGAUCCCUCAAAGAUGAUGAGGUUAAUAGGUUCGAGGUGGAAGCAUGGUGACAUGUGGAGCUGACGAAUACUAAUCGAUCGAAGACUUAAUCAA
rnacentral:rRNA from 1 species